UGCUGCAUGGCUGUCGUCAGCUCGUGUUGUGAAAUGUUGGGUUAAGUCCCGCAACGAGCGCAACCCUUAUCCUUUGUUGCCAGCGGUUCGGCCGGGAACUCAAAGGAGACUGCCAGUGAUAAACUGGAGGAAGGUGGGGAUGACGUCAAGUCAUCAUGGCCCUUACGAGUAGGGCUACACACGUGCUACAAUGGCAUAUACAAAGAGAAGCGACCUCGCGAGAGCAAGCGGACCUCAUAAAGUAUGUCGUAGUCCGGAUUGGAGUCUGCAACUCGACUCCAUGAAGUCGGAAUCGCUAGUAAUCGUAGAUCAGAAUGCUACGGUGAAUACGUUCCCGGGCCUUGUACACACCGCCCGUCACACCAUGGGAGUGGGUUGCAAAAGAAGUAGGUAGCUUAACCUUCGGGAGGGCGCUUACCACUUUGUGAUUCAUGACUGGGGUGAAGUCGUAACAAGGUAACCGUAGGGGAACCUGCGGUUGGAUCACCUCCUUACCUAAAGA
rnacentral:rRNA from 1 species